rnacentral:rRNA from 1 species
CGUAGGUGGCAAGCGUUGUCCGGAUUUAUUGGGUUUAAAGGGUGCGUAGGCGGCCGCCUAAGUCAGUUGUGAAAUACCCCGGCUCAACCGGGGGGGUGCGAUUGAUACUGGGCGGCUCGAGUAACAGCGAGGUUGGCGGAAUUGACGGUGUAGCGGUGAAAUGCAUAGAUAUCGUCAAGAACACCGAUAGCGAAGGCAGCCAACUAGGGGUUAACUGACGCUGAGGCACGAAAGUGUGGGGAUCAAACAGGAUUAGAUACCCUGGUAGUCCGCACUGUAAACGAUGAUUACUCGAUGUUGGCGAUAGACAGCCAGCGUCCAAGGGAAACCGAUAAGUAAUCCACCUGGGGAGUACGCCGGCAACGGUG